GGUCCGUUGGCCAAGUGGUCAAGAAAUUAUCCUUUUAAAAAGGUAACACGGGUUCGAAUCCCGGACGGGUCA
rnacentral:tRNA from 1 species